rnacentral:sRNA from 1 species
AUUAUUCCUUUGGGCAAUGGUGCGUUAUUCUAGUGCACGAAAUGGCAAUCGAAGGCGGGCCUAAGAAUCCGCCGAGGGCAUACCGAUGAAGUUCCUGGUGGUGGCUUACGACGCCCAGUCGAGGGUUGCUGCUGGGAGUUAAGGUUCAGGGGGAUCCGCAAUGGCAUGCGGGCGCUACCCUUAACCGUGGAGGCCUAAGUACGUGGUUCCUUUAGGGGUUACGGCUUGGGGUAUGAACCUGCAUUAGGAAGGAACUUAGUGCAGCGUAGCCUGCCUUGAGGUGGAAAAGUUGGGAAGGUGAGAGGGACUUGGACUAUGUUGGCCGAUAUAGUUCAGUCUGCCGGAAAUUCUUUUCUGCAAAAGAGGCUAGAUUGUUAAGGAGUGUCAAGGAAAACUUCUAGAACGAUAAUCAGUGAGGAUUGAAGUGCGGUCUCAGUGGCGAUCAAGUUCUGAGUGCUGGUAACACCUCAGGUUAAGAGAAAAGGGAAACCGCCUCAAGGGAAACCUGGGGAUCUUAGCGGGAAAACCUACUUGACCUAAGCCGUAAUAUUUUUUCACUGAUGUCCUAAAGCCCAAAGGCACA